AGAAUCAACGCUGGCGGCGUGCCUAACACAUGCAAGUCGAACGAGAAAGUGGGAGCAAUCCCAUUAGUAAAGUGGCGCACGGGUGAGUAACACGUGACUAACCUACCCUUGAGUGGGGGGAUAACCUAGGGAAACCUGGGCUAAUACCGCAUAAUACCUACGGGUCAAAGGAGCAAUUCGCUUUAGGAGGGGGUCGCGGCAGAUUAGUUAGUUGGCGGGGUAAUGGCCCACCAAGACAGUGAUCUGUAUCCGGCCUGAGAGGGCGCACGGACACACUGGAACUGAAACACGGUCCAGACUCCUACGGGAGGCAGCAGUGGGGAAUUUGCGCAAUGGGGGAAACCCUGACGCAGCAACGCCGCGUGGAGGAUGAAGCCCCUUGGGGCGUAAACUCCUUUCGAUCGGGAAGAUAAUGACGGUACCGGAAGAAGAAGCCCCGGCUAACUUCGCGCCAGCCAGCCGC
rnacentral:rRNA from 1 species